rnacentral:rRNA from 1 species
UACGUAGGGGGCAAGCGUUGUCCGGAGUUAUUGGGCGUAAAGCGCACGUAGGCGGAUUGCUAAGUCAGGGGUGAAAUCCUGGAGCUCAACUCCAGAACUGCCUUUGAUACUGGCGAUCUCGAGUCCGGGAGAGGUGAGUGGAACUGCGAGUGUAGAGGUGAAAUUCGUAGAUAUUCGCAAGAACACCAGUGGCGAAGGCGGCUCACUGGCCCGGUACUGACGCUGAGGUGCGAAAGCGUGGGGAGCAAACAGG